rnacentral:rRNA from 1 species
GGGACACGUGGUAUCCUGUCUGAAUAUGGGGGGACCAUCCUCCAAGGCUAAAUACUCCUGACUGACCGAUAGUGAACCAGUACCGUGAGGGAAAGGCGAAAAGAACCCCGGCGAGGGGAGUGAAAAAGAACCUGAAACCGUGUACGUACAAGCAGUGGGAGCACCUUCGGGUGUGACUGCGUACCUUUUGUAUAAUGGGUCAGCGACUUAUAUUCUGUAGCAAGGUUAACCGUAUAGGGGAGCCGCAGGGAAACCGAGUCUUAACUGGGCGUUAAGUUGCAGGGUAUAGACCCGAAACCCGGUGAUCUAGCCAUGGGCAGGUUGAAGGUUGGGUAACACUAACUGGAGGACCGAACCGACUAAUGUUGAAAAAUUAGCGGAUGACUUGUGGCUGGGGGUGAAAGGCCAAUCAAACCGGGAGAUAGCUGGUUCUCCCCGAAAGCUAUUUAGGUAGCGCCUCGUGAACUCAUCUUCGGGGGUAGAGCACUGUUUCGGCUAGGGGGUCAUCCCGACUUACCAACCCGAUGCAAACUACGAAUACCGAAGAAUGUUAUCACGGGAGACACACGGCGGGUGCUAACGUCCGUCGUGAAGAGGGAAACAACCCAGACCGCCAGCUAAGGUCCCAAAGUCAUGGUUAAGUGGGAAACGAUGUGGGAAGGCACAGACAGCCAGGAUGUUGGCUUAGAAGCAGCCAUCAUUUAAAGAAAGCGUAAUAGCUCACUGGUCGAGUCGGCCUGCGCGGAAGAUGUAACGGGGCUAAACCAUGCACCGAAGCUGCGGCAGCGACACUAUGUGUUGUUGGGUAGGGGAGCGUUCUGUAAGCCUGCGAAGGUGUGCUGUGAGGCAUGCUGGAGGUAUCAGAAGUGCGAAUGCUGACAUAAGUAACGAUAAAGCGGGUGAAAAGCCCGCUCGCCGGAAGACCAAGGGUUCCUGUCCAACGUUAAUCGGGGCAGGGUGAGUCGACCCCUAAGGCGAGGCCGAAAGGCGUAGUCGAUGGGAAACAGGUUAAUAUUCCUGUACUUGGUGUUACUGCGAAGGGGGGACGGAGAAGGCUAUGUUAGCCGGGCGACGGUUGUCCCGGUUUAAGCAUGUAGGCUGGUUAUCCAGGCAAAUCCGGAUAAUCAAGGCUGAGGUGUGAUGACGAGGCACUACGGUGCUGAAGUAACAAAUGCCCUGCUUCCAGGAAAAGCCUCUAAGCAUCAGGUAACAUCAAAUCGUACCCCAAACCGACACAGGUGGUCAGGUAGAGAAUACCAAGGCGCUUGAGAGAACUCGGGUGAAGGAACUAGGCAAAAUGGUGCCGUAACUUCGGGAGAAGGCACGCUGGUGUGUAGGUGAAGUCCCUGCGGAUGGAGCUGAGACCAGUCGAAGAUACCAGCUGGCUGCAACUGUUUAUUAAAAACACAGCACUGUGCAAACACGAAAGUGGACGUAUACGGUGUGACGCCUGCCCGGUGCCGGAAGGUUAAUUGAUGGGGUUAUCCGUAAGGAGAAGCUCUUGAUCGAAGCCCCGGUAAACGGCGGCCGUAACUAUAACGGUCCUAAGGUAGCGAAAUUCCUUGUCGGGUAAGUUCCGACCUGCACGAAUGGCGUAAUGAUGGCCAGGCUGUCUCCACCCGAGACUCAGUGAAAUUGAACUCGCUGUGAAGAUGCAGUGUACCCGCGGCAAGACGGAAAGACCCCGUGAACCUUUACUAUAGCUUGACACUGAACAUUGAGCCUUGAUGUGUAGGAUAGGUGGGAGGCUUUGAAGCGUGGACGCCAGUCUGCGUGGAGCCAACCUUGAAAUACCACCCUUUAAUGUUUGAUGUUCUAACGUUGGCCCCUGACCGGGGUUGCGGACAGUGUCUGGUGGGUAGUUUGACUGGGGCGGUCUCCUCCCAAAGCGUAACGGAGGAGCACGAAGGUUAGCUAAUCCUGGUCGGACAUCAGGAGGUUAGUGCAAUGGCAUAAGCUAGCUUGACUGCGAGCGUGACGGCGCGAGCAGGUGCGAAAGCAGGUCAUAGUGAUCCGGUGGUUCUGAAUGGAAGGGCCAUCGCUCAACGGAUAAAAGGUACUCCGGGGAUAACAGGCUGAUACCGCCCAAGAGUUCAUAUCGACGGCGGUGUUUGGCACCUCGAUGUCGGCUCAUCACAUCCUGGGGCUGAAGUAGGUCCCAAGGGUAUGGCUGUUCGCCAUUUAAAGUGGUACGCGAGCUGGGUUUAGAACGUCGUGAGACAGUUCGGUCCCUAUCUGCCGUGGGCGCUGGAGAAUUGAGGGGGGCUGCUCCUAGUACGAGAGGACCGGAGUGGACGCAUCACUGGUGUUCGGGUUGUCAUGCCAAUGGCACUGCCCGGUAGCUAAAUGCGGAAGAGAUAAGUGCUGAAAGCAUCUAAGCACGAAACUUGCCCCG